rnacentral:lncRNA from 1 species
CCUGUCUAUUUUACUUUGCAGAUCUUCACUUUUUGUUGUAGAAGAUGUUGAUGAUAUCUGUCCACGGUUUGUUGAUGAUGUCUGCGUAAAGUUUGUUGAUGCUGUCUGCGCAGGGUUUGUAGAUGAUGCCUGUGUAGGGUAUUUCGAGGAUGUCUGCACACGGUUUGCUGAUGGUGGUUGCAAACGGUUUGUUAAUGAUGUCUUCACACUGUUUGUUGAUGAUGUCUGCGCAGGCUUUGUAGAUGAUGUCUGUGCAGGGUUUAUUGCUAAUGUUUGUGCAGAGUUUGAUGAUGAUCUCUGUGCAGGAUUUGUUGAUGAUGUGUGUGCAGGGUUUGUUGAUGGUGUCUGUGCAGGUUUUGUUGAUGAUGUCUGUGCAGGGUUUGUUGAUGAUGUCUGCACACGGUCUGUUGAUGAUUUCCGCACAGGAUUUGUAGAUGAUGUCUGUGCAGGCUUUGUAGAUGAUUUCUGUGUAGGGUAUUUCGAGGAUGUCUGCACACGGUUUGUUGAUGAAGUCUGCACACGGUUUGUUGAUGAUGUAUGUGCAGGGUUUGUUGAUGAUGUUUGUGCAGGGUUUAUAGAUGAUGUCUGUGCAGGGUUUAUUGUUAAUGUUUGUGCAGGGUUUGUUGAUGAUGUAUGUGCAGGGUUUGUUGAUAAUGUCUGUGCAGGUUUUGUUGAUGAUCUCUGUGCAGGAUUUGUUGAUGAUGUGUGUGCAGAGUUUGUUGAUGAUAUCUGUGCAGGGUUUGUUGAUGAUGACUGCGCAGGGUUUGUUGAUGAUGGCUGCACAUGGUUUGUUGAUGAUAUCUGUGCAGGGUUUGUUAAUGAUGACUGCGAAAAGUCUGUUAAUGAUGUAUGUGCAGGGUUUGUUGAUGAUGACUGCGCAGAGUUUGAAUAUGAUGUAUGUGUAGGGUUUGUUGAUGAUGUGUGUGCAGGGUUUGUUGAUAAUGUCCGUGCAGGGUUUGUUAAUGAUGUCUGCACACGGU